UACAGAGGGGGCAAGCGUUAUUCGGAAUUAUUGGGCGUAAAGGGCGCGUAGGCGGCUUUUCAAGUGACGGGUGAAAUCCCUCGGCUCAACCGGGGAACUGCGUCUGAUACUGGAUGGCUUGAAUUCGGGAGAGGGAUGCGGAAUUCCAGGUGUAGCGGUGAAAUGCGUAGAUAUCUGGAGGAACACCGGUGGCGAAGGCGGUUCUCUGGGCCUUACCUGACGCUGAGGAGCGAAAGCGUGGGGAGCGAACAGG
rnacentral:rRNA from 1 species